UACGAGGGGGGCGAGCGUUGUUCGGAAUUAUUGGGCGUAAAGGGUGCGUAGGCGGUUCCGCAAGUCCUGUGUGAAAUCUUCGGGCUCAACUCGAAGUCUGCACGGGAAACUGCGGGGCUUGAGUGUGGGAGAGGUGAGUGGAAUUCCCGGUGUAGCGGUGGAAUGCGUAGAGAUCCGGAAGAACACCGGUGGCGAAGGCGGCUCACUGGCCCGGUACUGACGCUGAGGUGCGAAAGCGUGGGGAGCAAACAGG
rnacentral:rRNA from 1 species